AUGGGGAAGGCGAAGCGGGCGUCCAUCUUCAUCAGGCUCGUGUCGGCCGCCGGCACGGGGUUCUUCUACGUGAAGCGCAAGAACCCUCGCCGGAUCACGGAGAAGCUCGAGUUCAGGAAGUACGACCCCCGCGUCAACAAGCACGUCCUCUUCACGGAGGCCAAGAUGAAGUGA
rnacentral:rRNA from 1 species